GCGCUGCAUUAGCUAGUUGGUAAGGUAACGGCUUACCAAGGCAACGAUGCAUAGCCGACCUGAGAGGGUGAUCGGCCACACUGGAACUGAGACACGGUCCAGACUCCUACGGGAGGCAGCAGUAGGGAAUCUUCCGCAAUGGGCGAAAGCCUGACGGAGCAACGCCGCGUGAGUGAUGAAGGUCUUCGGAUCGUAAAACUCUGUUAUUAGGGAAGAACAUAUGUGUAAGUAACUGUGCACAUCUUGACGGUACCUAAUCAGAAAGCCACGGCUAACUACGUGCCAGCAGCCGCGGUAAUACGUAGGUGGCAAGCGUUAUCCGGAAUUAUUGGGCGUAAAGCGCGCGUAGGCGGUUUUUUAAGUCUGAUGUGAAAGCCCACGGCUCAACCGUGGAGGGUCAUUGGAAACUGGAAAACUUGAGUGCAGAAGAGGAAAGUGGAAUUCCAUGUGUAGCGGUGAAAUGCGCAGAGAUAUGGAGGAACACCAGUGGCGAAGGCGACUUUCUGGUCUGUAACUGACGCUGAUGUGCGAAAGCGUGGGGAUCAAACAGGAUUAGAUACCCUGGUAGUCCACGCCGUAAACGAUGAGUGCUAAGUGUUAGGGGGUUUCCGCCCCUUAGUGCUGCAGCUAACGCAUUAAGCACUCCGCCUGGGGAGUACGACCGCAAGGUUGAAACUCAAAGGAAUUGACG
rnacentral:rRNA from 1 species